UACGUAGGGGGCAAGCGUUGUCCGGAAUCAUUGGGCGUAAAGCGCGCGUAGGUGGCCCGGUAAGUCCGCUCUGAAAGUCAAAGGCUCAACCUUUGAAAGCGGGUGGAUACUGUCGGGCUAGAGUCCGGAAGAGGCGAGUGGAAUUCCUGGUGUAGCGGUGGAAUGCGCAGAUAUCAGGAGGAACACCGGUGGCGAAGGCGGGUCUCUGGGCAGUAACUGACGCUGAGGAGCGAAAGCGUGGGGAGCGAACAGG
rnacentral:rRNA from 1 species